rnacentral:rRNA from 1 species
UUCCGGUUGAUCCUGCCGGACCCCACUGCUAUCGAGGUGGGACUAAGCCAUGCCAGUCGAACGACCCGGACUAUGGCGGGGAGUGGCAGACUGCUCAGUAACACGUAGCUAACCUACCCUCGGGACGGGGAUAACCCCGGGAAACUGGGGCUAAUACCCGAUAGGUAUGGAUUCCUGGAAUGGUGCCAUGCCUAAACGUAAGCACAUCCAUGUUUGUGUGCACGCCCGAGGAUGGGGCUGCGGCCGAUCAGGCAGUUGGUGAGGUAACGGCUCACCAAACCUUUGACCGGUACGGGCCAUGAGAGUGGUAGCCCGGAGAUGGGCACUGAGACAAGGGCCCAGGCCCUACGGGGCGCAGCAGGCGCGAAACCUCCACAAUUCACGCAAGUGAGAUGGGGUUACCUCGAGUGCUAUCUGAAGAAGGUGGCUUUUCCAUGGUGUAAUGAGCCGUGGGAAUAAGGGGGGGGCAAGACUGGUGUCAGCCGCCGCGGUAACACCAGCCCCCCGAGUGGUGGGGAUGAUUAUUUGGCCUAAAGCGUCCGUAGCCAGCUCGGUAAAUCUCUCGUUAAAUCCAGCGUCCUAAGCGUUGGGCUGCGCGGGAAACUGCCGAACUAGAGGGUGGGAGAGGUCAGCGGUAUUCCUGGGGUAGGGGCGAAAUCCAUUGAUCCCAGGAGGACCACCAGUGGCGAAGGCUGCUGACUAGAACACGCCUGACGGUGAGGGACGAAAGCUGGGGUAGCGAAUCGGAUUAGAUACCCGAGUAGUCCCAGCCGUAAACGAUGCAGGCUAGGUGUUGGGUCGGCCACGCGCCGCCUCAGUGCCACAGGGAAGCCAUUAAGCCUGCCGCCUGGGGAGUACGGCCGCAAGGCUGAAACUUAAGGAAUUGGCGGGGGAGCACCACCAGGCGUGAAGCCUGCGGUUUAUUGGAAUCAACGCCGGAA